UCUUGAAUUUGUAUGUGUGUUUGUUUGUUUAUUAGCAAAAUGAUUAGACCAGGCUUGUUAUUUUUCAUUAUUGUCAGCAUACAAUUUACAACAACUACAAACUCAAGAUUGGUAGGAGGCAUAACAACACUUUCGGAAAAUGAAAUUUUGAAAGAAGAUUUACCUGAUGAUUUGGUUGAUGGUUUAAAUAAAGUUAUUGAAAAAAUAAAUCUUGAUAAAAAUGAUAAAUAUCGAUAUAUAAGAGGUAAAUUACACGAGAUAACGAAGCAACUUGUCGCUGGCAUGUCAUACAAAGUUACUUUCGAUAUCUUUAAAUCUUCCUGUAGAAAUCCAGACGAAAAUAACACGCCAGCAAAGCAGUGUUAUAUACAGGAUUACUCUACGAAGCAACUAUGCCAAGCAUCUAUUUGGUCUCGAGUGUGGAUGAAAAGUCCGGAUGACUUAAUAGUUGAUUAUAAAUGUUAAUAACCUCACAGUAUUUUCUUCAUUUUAGAAAAAAAAAUUUCUACUUUA